UACGUAGGGUGCGAGCGUUAAUCGGAAUUACUGGGCGUAAAGCGUGCGCAGGCGGUUCUCCAAGUCCGUUGUGAAAGCCCCGGGCUCAACCUGGGAACUGCAUUUGUGACUGCAUCGCUGGAGUGCGGCAGAGGGGGAUGGAAUUCCGCGUGUAGCAGUGAAAUGCGUAGAUAUGCGGAGGAACACCGAUGGCGAAGGCAAUCCCCUGGGCCUGCACUGACGCUCAUGCACGAAAGCGUGGGGAGCAAACAGG
rnacentral:rRNA from 1 species